UACGAAGGGGGCUAGCGUUGUUCGGAAUUACUGGGCGUAAAGCGCACGUAGGCGGCUUAGCAAGUCGGAUGUGAAAUCCCUCGGCUCAACCAAGGAAGUGCAUCCGAAACUGCAGAGCUUGAGUACUUAAGAGGAUCGCGGAAUUCCCGGUGUAGAGGUGAAAUUCGUAGAUAUCGGGAGGAACACCAGUGGCGAAGGCGGCGAUCUGGGAAGAUACUGACGCUGAGGUGCGAAAGCGUGGGGAGCAAACAGG
rnacentral:rRNA from 1 species